UUGAUGAACGCUAGCGACAGGCUUAACACAUGCAAGUCGAGGGGCAGCACAGGUAGCAAUACCGGGUGGCGACCGGCGCACGGGUGAGUAACGCGUAUGCAACUUACCUAUCAGAGGGGGAUAACCCGGCGAAAGUCGGACUAAUACCGCAUGAAGCAGGGGCCCCGCAUGGGGAUAUUUGCUAAAGAUUCAUCGCUGAUAGAUAGGCAUGCGUUCCAUUAGGCAGUUGGCGGGGUAACGGCCCACCAAACCGACGAUGGAUAGGGGUUCUGAGAGGAAGGUCCCCCACAUUGGUACUGAGACACGGACCAAACUCCUACGGGAGGCAGCAGUGAGGAAUAUUGGUCAAUGGCCGAGAGGCUGAACCAGCCAAGUCGCGUGAGGGAUGAAGGUUCUAUGGAUCGUAAACCUCUUUUAUAAGGGAAUAAAGUGCGGGACGUGUCCCGUUUUGUAUGUACCUUAUGAAUAAGGAUCGGCUAACUCCGUGCCAGCAGCCGCGGUAAUACGGAGGAUCCGAGCGUUAUCCGGAUUUAUUGGGUUUAAAGGGUGCGUAGGCGGCCUUUUAAGUCAGCGGUGAAAGUCUGUGGCUCAACCAUAGAAUUGCCGUUGAAACUGGGAGGCUUGAGUAUGUUUGAGGCAGGCGGAAUGCGUGGUGUAGCGGUGAAAUGCAUAGAUAUCACGCAGAACCCCGAUUGCGAAGGCAGCCUGCCAAGCCAUUACUGACGCUGAUGCACGAAAGCGUGGGGAUCAAACAGGAUUAGAUACCCUGGUAGUCCACGCAGUAAACGAUGAUCACUAGCUGUUUGCGAUACACUGUAAGCGGCACAGCGAAAGCGUUAAGUGAUCCACCUGGGGAGUACGCCGGCAACGGUGAAACUCAAAGGAAUUGACGGGGGCCCGCACAAGCGGAGGAACAUGUGGUUUAAUUCGAUGAUACGCGAGGAACCUUACCCGGGUUUGAACGCAUUCGGACCGAGGUGGAAACACCUUUUCUAGCAAUAGCCGUUUGCGAGGUGCUGCAUGGUUGUCGUCAGCUCGUGCCGUGAGGUGUCGGCUUAAGUGCCAUAACGAGCGCAACCCUUGCCACUAGUUACUAACAGGUAAAGCUGAGGACUCUGGUGGGACUGCCAGCGUAAGCUGCGAGGAAGGCGGGGAUGACGUCAAAUCAGCACGGCCCUUACAUCCGGGGCGACACACGUGUUACAAUGGCGUGGACAAAGGGAGGCCACCUGGCGACAGGGAGCGAAUCCCCAAACCACGUCUCAGUUCGGAUCGGAGUCUGCAACCCGACUCCGUGAAGCUGGAUUCGCUAGUAAUCGCGCAUCAGCCAUGGCGCGGUGAAUACGUUCCCGGGCCUUGUACACACCGCCCGUCAAGCCAUGGGAGCCGGGGGCACCUGAAGUCCGUAACCGCGAGGAUCGGCCUAGGGUAAAACUGG
rnacentral:rRNA from 1 species